GCGUUCCAAAAUCCCAAAAUCCCAAUGUUCCAAUGUUCCAGAGAAGAUCAGCUUACAAUUAGCGCAAGGAUGACACGCAAAUUCGUGAAGCGUUCCAAAUUUUU
rnacentral:sRNA from 1 species